rnacentral:rRNA from 1 species
UACGGAGGGUGCGAGCGUUGUCCGGAAUCACUGGGCGUAAAGGGCGCGUAGGCGGCGCGGGUAGUCGUCGGUGAAAGCUCAGGGCUCAACCCUGAGUCGGCCGGUGAUACUCCCGUGCUCGAGCACUGUAGAGGCAGGUGGAAUUCCGGGUGUAGCGGUGGAAUGGCGUAGAGAUCCGGAAGAACGACCGGUGGCGAAGGCGGCCGACUGGGCAGUAGCUGACGCUGAUGCGCGAGAGCGUGGGGAGCAA